GAGCGUGAUGACAUGGAUUUUUGUCGCCCCAGUCUUAGGAUCCGGCUCGCCGGACCUGUGCUGAUUGACAUACGUUAUCUAAUCUGACUC
rfam:Triticum urartu cultivar G1812 contig99869, whole genome shotgun sequence.